AUUCCCACUGUCCAYAUCUACUGUCUAGCGAACCCACAGGCAGGGGAACGGGYYUGCACUAAACAGUGGGGAAAAAAGACCCUGUUGAGCUUGACUCUAGUCUGAUAUUGUAAAGAGACAUCAGAGGUGUACUGUAGCAUAAGUGGGAGGUCGUCUCGCUCGGCGGACAGUGAAACACCACUACUCUGAUCGUUUCUCUAUUUACUCGGUGAGACGGAACCGGAGCUUCCCCACGCGGGACUGUCUUCUGCUUCUAGCUCUUAGCGGAGGAAGGGCGAUGACCGACCUACUGAAAGCUGCCGUCCGUCCGUCCGCACAUCCGUCGACGACUAGACUCCCUCAAGGGUAAGGAGAAGACCGCGGCGACGAAUGGCCCAGGAAGGUGCGGCCCCAAGUCCGGGCUUUCGCGCCCACCGCGUUCCGCUUCGAGGACAGUAUCAGGUGGGGAGUUUGACUGGGACGGUACAUCUGUCGAAUGGUAGCGCAGGUGUCCUAAGGCCAGCUCAGCGUGGACAGAAACCUCGCGUAGAGCAGAGGGGCAAAUAGAUUCCGAUUUUCAGUACGAAUACGGACUGUGAAAGCAGGGCCUAUCGAUCCUUUUGACUUUUACGAGUUUUAAGCAAGAGGUGUCAAAAAGUUAACACAAGGAUGCCUGGCUUGUGGCGGCCAAGUGUCUCAUAGCGAUGUCGCUUUUUGAUCC
rnacentral:rRNA from 1 species